UACGUAGGGUGCAAGCGUUGUCCGGAAUUAUUGGGCGUAAAGAGCUCGUAGGCGGUUUGUCGCGUCUGCUGUGAAAAACCCGAGGCUCAACCUCGGGCCUGCAGUGGGUACGGGCAGACUAGAGUGCGGUAGGGGAGAUUGGAAUUCCUGGUGUAGCGGUGGGAUGCGCAGAUAUCAGGAGGAACACCAAUGGCGAAGGCAGAUCUCUGGGCCGUAACUGACGCUGAGGAGCGAAAGCAUGGGGAGCGAACAGG
rnacentral:rRNA from 1 species